UGGGCGUAAAGCGCGCGUAGGUGGUUUAUUAAGUUGGAUGUGAAAUCCCCGGGCUCAACCUGGGAACUGCAUCCAAAACUGAUUCACUAGAGUACGAUAGAGGGAGGUAGAAUUCACAGUGUAGCGGUGGAAUGCGUAGAUAUUGUGAAGAAUACCAAUGGCGAAGGCAGCCUCCUGGAUCUGUACUGACACUAAGGUGCGAAAGCGUGGGUAGCGAACAGGAUUAGAUACCCUGGUAGUCCACGCCGUAAACGAUGUCAACUAGCUGUUGGGAAACUAUGUUUUUCAGUGGCGCAGCUAACGUAGUAAGUUGACCGCCUGGGGAGUACGGCCGCAAGGCUAAAACUCAAAUGAAUUGACGGGGACCCGCACAAGCGGUGGAGCAUGUGGUUUAAUUCGAUGCAACGCGAAAAACCUUACCUAUACUUGACAUACUUGGAAUGCUUUGUAAUAAAGCAGUGCCCUCGGGAGCCAGGAUACAGGUGCUGCAUGGCUGUCGUCAGCUCGUGUCGUGAGAUGUUCCGUUAAGUCGGAUAACGAGCGCAACCCUUACCCUUAUUUGCCAGCGAUUCGGUCGGGAACUAUAAGGGGACUGCCGGUGAUAAACCGGAGGAAGGUGAGGACGACGUCAAGUCAUCAUGGCCCUUACGUAUAGGGCUACACACGUGCUACAAUGGGGAAUACAGACGGACGCUAAGCCGCGAGGUGGUGCUAAUCCUAGAAAAUUCUUCGUAGUCCGGAUUGAAGUCUGCAACUC
rnacentral:rRNA from 1 species